GACGAACGCUGGCGGCGUGCUUAAUACAUGCAAGUCGAACGGAAAGGCCCUGCUUUUGCGGGGUGCUCGAGUGGCGAACGGGUGAGUAUCACGUGAGUAACCUGCCCUUGACUUUGGGAUAAAUUCAGGAAACUGGGGCUCAUACCGGAUAUGAGCUCCUGCUGCAUGGUGGGGGAUGGAAAGUUUCGGCGGUUGGGGAUGGACUCGCGGCUUAUCAGCCUGUUUGUGGGGUAGUGGCUUACCAAGGCUUGCACGGGUAGCCGGCCUGAGCGGGUGACCGGCCACAUUGAGACUGAGAUACGGCCGAGACUCCUACGGGAGGCAGCAGUGGGGAAUAUUGCACGAGGGGCGGAAGCCUGAUGCAGCAACGCCGCGUGCGGGAUGACGGCCUUCGUGUUGUAAACCGCUUUCGCCUGUGACGAAGCGUGAGUGACGGUAAUGGGUAAGGAAGCACCGGCUAACUACGUG
rnacentral:rRNA from 1 species